UGGAGCGUCAACUUUCUCAGUUUUCAUCGUAAAGAGCAGAAAACUUCUUAGUAAUGAACAUUUCCACAAGGGGCUUUUGUUUUCAGAUUGAUUUGCUCAUUGGACAAAGUAUCCUAGGGAAAUGUGCCCCUGCGAAGUUGGUGGUGAUUGUGGUGGUGGAGCUAACGACAUGUGUGCAGAAACUCUUCUGAAUGGGACUUCCCUGAUCCUGUUUUUACCUGAUCUUCAUGCUCAAUAGAAAAAGCCUCAGCUUUGGAAUCAGGGCCGUCCAGGUAGCAUGGCAUGGUACUGGAACACUAUGUCUUCUCUCUGACCUCUCGGAAUAUCUCUGUGAUUCAAUGUGUUGGCCCAUUGGAGGCCCUGGAUAAGACAACUGAGGCUGAAGAUCACACAACCAGUAAAUGGAACAGCCAGAAAUCAAAUGUUAUAUAUUGGCCCUGAAGUGGGGAUAAAGCAGCUAAAAGAAAGUGUACUUUACAUUAAAUUUUAAGGUAUCCAAAAGCAAAUCAAUAAGCCAUACUCUAGUUACAUUAAGAUAUUUUCACAAGUGCUAGGUUAAGUAAUAUAAAAUUACCAUUUUUGUAGGUCAAAAGUAAUGGAAUAUCAUGCUUGUAUAUGGUUUGAUCUAAUAUAUAUCAUUAUCAGGUUCUACUAAUACAGAGUUUUCUGCCUUUACUUAACCAUCACAAUAAACUAAGGACUUCCAAGCUAGUAAGAAUAAUGACACAGAUAAUAAUUAGAAAAGUAUUCAUAACAUUAUCAACAAACACUUCUACCAUUUUUUGAACAACUACUUCUAUGUAUAUUUUCACUGUAGUAAAAAAUCCCUAACAAAAAAUUUAUCAUCUUAAUCAUUUUAAGUGUACAGUUCAGUAGUGCUAAGUAUAUUUACAUUACUGUGAAACAGAUCUCUAGAACAUUUGAUCUUGCAAAUUUGAAACUCUGUACUCCUUAAACAUGAAGAACCCCAUGAGAGACCAUGUGGCUGGUGGUGUCAGAUUAUAGGCUUUUUCAAGAGAAGUCAAUCUGGAAUUUUGUGUAAAAUUUUCCAAGCUUUAAUGUUAGCUUUAAAAUAGCUUUAUCGAGAUAUAAUUCAAAUACCAUAAAUCUAUCCAUUUAAAGUGUACAUUUUAACAGUUUUUAAUCACCCCCAAAGGAGACCUUGUACCAUUAAGCAGUCACUCCUCAUUCCCCCCUCCUCCCAGAUGCUAGUAACCACCAUUCUGUUUCCUGUUGCUAUGAAUUGACUACUUAAGUGCCAGUAGCCUAUCAUUUUUGAGUAUGUAAAUCUGCAAGGUGCAUUACACACUUUAAUCCUAACAAAACUACAAACUAAGUGCUAUUAUUCUUACUUUAUAGUCUAGAAAAUGAAAAAGUUUUAGUAGAUACAAAGUUACAUCUGAAAGUAAUUAAUUGCUACGUAUUUUCAUAUCUGUUAUAUUCAAGUUAGAUAUGA